rnacentral:lncRNA from 1 species
GUGCAAUGGCGCGAUCUCGGCUCACCGCAACCUCCGUCUCCUAGGUUUAAGCGAUUCUCCUGCCUCAGCCUCCCUACUAGCUUGGAUUACAGGCAUUCACCACCAUGCCCGGUUAAUUUUGUAUUUUUAGUAGAGACGGGGUUUCCCCAUGUUGGUCAGGCUGGUCUCGAGCUCCCGACCUCAGGUGAUCCGCCGGCCUCGGCCUCCCAGAGUGCUGGGAUUACAGGCGAGAGCCACCGCGCCCGGCCUUGCCCGCAAGCGUUUUGAAUUCUGCGGCCCGGAGUUCACUGCGAGGACUGGGAUCACCCGUCACCCCGCCCUGGUCUACGGAAAACGAAACGUGUUCACUGAUAUAGAAACGGAAUAACGGCGCUGCGGGCUGGGGAGGGCAGAGCUGCCUUCAGGCUUCUGGUCUCCAGCUGCGGGUCACUCACACCUGCCGCUGUGAAAUGCAGACCCGCGGGGCAGGAAUUCCGAGUCCGGGCUGGAGCGCGAUCUGGAAUCUGAGUCGCUUGAAACAGCACCGCGGUGGAUUCGGAGCCGGGGUUGGGGCGUGGAGAGAGAGAGUCUGCCACUGAUCCUCUGAAUUCCAGCUCCUGUUGUCAGUCAUGUAGCUGAAAGUAGGAAGAAGCUUUCUCUUCUGCACUUGGAACAACAGGAUAAAGAUGACAGAGAGCCCCACAUCUACCAUGGAAAAGACAAUGGUCCCUCCCACUCCCUGAAUCAUGCCAAGUUUUCUAAUGACAUGUGUUUUCCUGCAACGUCACUAUAUCUCCUUCCUUCAAGCACCAGUUUUCACAGUACAAGCACAGCAACAGCACAAAGGAAUGACUACUGAGCCUGUGUUGUUACCCAUGUUGGCCAUGUCCUGAGUUGAGACUUUAUUUUAUACUUAGGUACCUGUGAGUCAUUGCCUAAUUUUGCCUGACUCCACCAUGACCCAAUUUGAUCAAGGUGUAUCUGCUAUGGGACCUCUCUAGUUCCUCAUCAGAAAUUACAGUGAAUAACAUGUCCAGCUCCUGGGGUGCCUGAUGGCAAUGAGUGGCAGUUCCUCUGGGGGCAACACUUUGGGGGCGACUAAGGCCUCAUAGACUUUAUUACUGCUGGGCUACAUGGCCCAAGGCUCCUGGGCACAAUGGAUCAGUGGUCUUGGAUUCACCUCUGACAUUUAAGGACAUUUGUUCUUGGGCUUUCACAAGUGGUCUCUGAUUAGGAUGGAAGGAAGGGACGCAGGGACACAAAAUCUCUGACGGUCUAGGGACCACCGCCCCGUAUCGCCCCUCUCCCUGGCCCUCACUUCCGCUCAGAGACUACAUGGCCGUUCCACUGAAUUCCUGAGGACACGGCCAACAUGGGUAACAACACAGGGAAGUGCCUUAGACUGAGUUCCGUGGGAGGCUGGCUGGUGCCCUCUGUACCAUUUACCUACACCUGUUGGGAUUUCUCUAGAGUGAAAUGCUCCAGAGGCAGUCAUACCAUAAGCUUGGAUCCUCCAGCCAUUGAGUGUGGGGGUGUUAGCCCUGGCUAAAUGAGCACCAAAUUCUAGAGAGACCAGGAGACCGUCUAAGUUCUGAAUCCUGAGUCCUGAACCCUGGAAGUGGGCUUCCGGCCAGGGAGCAGGUGUCACUGCCUCUGAUCCACAAAAGCAGCUCCACAGCUCAAGAUGCUCUUCUGGAUUUCUGCCUCUCCUGGUUCCUGGCCAGGCAAGUCUUCACUGCUUUGUUAGCCCAUCCAUUUGCUCAACCAGAUUUUUCCAAUAUGUGUGUUUUCCUCCUUUUCCCAUUGUACUCAGUGGAAGGAAUGGUCUAAAUUACCUAAUCAGCAAUUCCUGGAAACCAAGCCACCAUGUACACACAAUCUUAUACAUUAAUGUCACAUACAAGAAAGAAAAUGCAGAGAUACCAGUAGUGGCCAUCUAAGCAGUGUAACAUAGAGGUAAUAAAAACAAAUUGUUGGAUAGUAUCUAUCUAUGCCAUGAUUAAAAUACAUAUCAAUAAAUUACAACUUCUAAGAAAAUAA